rnacentral:rRNA from 1 species
UGAGGAAUCUUCCACAAUGGGCGAAAGCCUGAUGGAGCGACACCGCGUGAAGGAUGAAGCCUUUGUUGGUGUAAACUUCUUUUCUCUCGGAAGAUAAUGACGGUACGAGAGGAAUAAGGGGCGGCAAACUUCGUGCCAGCAGCCGCGGUAAUACGAAGGCCCCAAGCGUUAUCCGGAAUUACUGGGCGUAAAGCGUCUGUAGGUGGUUUUAAAGGUUUCGCGUGAAACUUCGGGGCUCAACCCUGAAUUGCGCGGAAAACCAUAAAACUUGAGUGCGGGAGAGGCAAGCAGAAUGGUAUGAGUAGGGGUGCAAUCCGUUGAUACAUACCAGAAUACCAAAAGCGAAGGCAGCUUGCUGGAACGCUACUGACACUGAGAGACGAAAGCGUGGGGAGCGAAA